rnacentral:lncRNA from 1 species
GCGUGGGGUGAGGGCUGGGGGACUUGGUCCACAAGCUUUGGGAUGGCCCUGUGACAGUCACUGCCUUGUUUUCCCAGGGUGACCGGGGCGAGAAGGGUGACCGGGGUGAGCAGGGCAGGGACGGCUUGCCUGGCACCCCGGGGCCCCCGGGGCCCAAGGCAGACGUGGUGGAGGGCAGCCUGAUGGGCUUCCCAGGCGAGCGUGGCCCUGCUGGACCCAAGGGAGUGAAGGGCGAGCCAGGAGCCGAGGGUGAGCGGGGACCCAAAGGAGAUAAGGGUGAGGGUGGCCUGCGAGGUGAGCGAGGGGAGCCUGGCGAGAAGGGCAGGGAUGGUGCCCCGGUGAGUACUGCACUGUCCCCCUGCCUGGUGCCAACCCCAUACCCCUGCCUGGCACUGACCCCAUCCCUAUCUCUUGC